AACGAACGUUGGCGGCAUGGAUUAGGCAUGCAAGUCGAACGAAUCCCGGGGUAGCAAUACCUCGGGGGAAGUGGCGAAAGGGGCAGUAAUACAUGGAUAACCUACCCUGGGGAUGGGCAUAGCCGUUCUAACGAGCGGGUAAUACCCAGCGAUUCGACUGGUUGGCAUCAAUCGGUCGGGAAAUGAAUUUCGCCUCGGGAGGGGUCCAUGCGAUAUCAGCUAGUUGGCGGGGUAACGGCCCACCAAGGCUUAGACGUCUAGCGGGUGUGAGAGCACGACCCGCGCCACUGGCACUGAGACACUGGCCAGACACCUACGGGUGGCUGCAGUCGAGGAUCUUCGUCAAUGGGCGCAAGCCUGAACGAGCGAUGCCGCGUGAGCGAUGAAGGCC
rnacentral:rRNA from 1 species